rnacentral:rRNA from 1 species
GACGAACGCUGGCGGCGUGCUUAACACAUGCAAGUCGAACGGAAAGGCCCUGCUUUUGUGGGGUGCUCGAGUGGCGAACGGGUGAGUAACCCGUGAGUAACCUGCCCUUGACUUUGGGAUAACUUCAGGAAACUGGGGCUCAUACCGGAUAGGAGCUCCUGCUGCAUGGUGGGGGUUGGAAAGUUUCGGCUGUUGGGGAUGGACUCGCGGCUUAUCAGCUUGUUGGUGGGGUAGUGGCUUACCAAGGCUUUGACGGGUAGCCGGCCUGAGAGGGUGACCGGCCACAUUGGGACUGAGAUACGGCCCAGACUCCUACGGGAGGCAGCAGUGGGGAAUAUUGCACAAUGGGCGGAAGCCUGAGGCAGCAACGCCGCGUGCGGGAUGACGGCCUUCGGGUUGUAAACCGCUUUCGCCUGUGACGAAGCGUGAGUGACGGUAAUGGGUAGAGAAGCACCGGCUAACUACGUG